CCUACGGGUGGCAGCAGUGAGGAAUAUUGGUCAAUGGACGAGAGUCUGAACCAGCCAAGUAGCGUGAAGGAUGACUGCCCUAUGGGUUGUAAACUUCUUUUAUAAAGGACUAAAACGAGGCACGUGUGCCUUUUUGCAUGUACUUUAUGAAUAAGGAACGGGUAACUACGUGCCAGCAGCCACGGUAAUACGGCGGAUGCGAGCGUUAACCGGAGUUAUUGGGUUUAAAGGGAGCGUAGAUAGGUUGUUAAGUGAGUUGUGAAAGUGUUGGGCGCAACCGUAGAAUUGCAAUUGAUACUGGCAGUCUUGAGUGCAGGUGAGGUAGGAGGAAUUCGUGGUGUAGCGGUGAAAUGCGUAGAGAUCACGAAGAACCCCGAUUGCGAAGGCAGCUUACUAAACUGUGACUGACGUUGAUGCUCGAAAGUGUGGGUAUCAAACAGGAUUAGAUACCCUGGUAGUC
rnacentral:rRNA from 1 species